AGAGUUUGAUCAUGGCUCAGAUUGAACGCUGGCGGUAGGCUUAACACAUGCAAGUCGUGCGAGAAAGUAUCUUCGGAUAUGAGUAGAGCGGCGGACGGGUGAGUAACGCGUAGGAAUCUACCUAGUAGAAGGGGAUAGCCCGGGGAAACCCGGAUUAAUACCGUAUACCUCCUUCGGGAGAAAGAAGGCCUCUCUUUGAAGCUUUCGCUACUAGAUGAGCCUGCGUAAGAUUAGCUUGUUGGUGAGGUAAAGGCUCACCAAGGCGACGAUCUUUAGCUGGUCUGAGAGGACGAUCAGCCACAUUGGGACUGAGACACGGCCCAGACUCCUACGGGAGGCAGCAGUGGGGAAUAUUGGACAAUGGGCGCAAGCCUGAUCCAGCCAUACCGCGUGUGUGAAGAAGGCCUUCGGGUUGUAAAGCACUUUAAGCAGGGAGAAAAAGUUAUAAGCUAAUACCUUAUAACCUUGAUGUUACCUGCAGAAUAAGCACCGGCUAAUUCCGUGCCAGCAGCCGCGGUAAUACGGAAGGUGCAAGCGUUAAUCGGAAUUACUGGGCGUAAAGCGCGCGUAGGUGGUUUGUUAAGUUGGAUGUGAAAGCCCUGGGCUCAACCUAGGAACUGCAUCCAAAACUAACUCACUAGAGUACGAUAGAGGGAGGUAGAAUUCAUAGUGUAGCGGUGGAAUGCGUAGAUAUUAUGAAGAAUACCAGUGGCGAAGGCGGCCUCCUGGAUCUGUACUGACACUGAGGUGCGAAAGCGUGGGUAGCGAACAGGAUUAGAUACCCUGGUAGUCCACGCC
rnacentral:rRNA from 1 species